GUGUGAAUCAAAAGAAAAAACUUUUUUCAAGUUAAUACAUGGUUCAGGAAAAGAAGAAACAAGCAAAGAAGCCAAAAUCAGAGCUAAGGAAAAAAGAAAUAGACUAAGUCUUCUUGUGCAGAAACCUGAGUUUCAUGAAGACACCCGCUCCAGUAGAUCUGGGCACUUGGCCAGAGAAACAAGAGUCUCCCCUGAAGAGGCAGUGAAAUGGGGUGAAUCAUUUGACAAACUGCUUUCCCAUAGAGGUUAGUGGUACUUUCACCAAAUACUUUAUUGCUUAAUGGAAAAUUACACAAACUAUGCAUGUAAUUAUCCGAAACAAUAGGUCACAAAAUUUUUGUCUGAUUGUUAAUUUUCAGUAAUUCAAUUUUCUGAUCAACAGAACUAAAUAAUAGAAAAGUCAAAUAAUGGAAAUUUUUUUUAAAGUUCUCAUUUUGUUUAGAAUUACCUACUGUGGAUGAAAUAUUAGUUAUUUACACUGUAGCUAG
rnacentral:sRNA from 1 species